rnacentral:lncRNA from 1 species
GGUUAGGCAUGGGAAACGAAAAGAUAGAUAUAUACCAUAAUGAUUGCAUGCUUUUCUAUAAGGAGGACCAACUGAAAAGCUCAUGUGAUGUAUACGGUGAAGCCGAUUUAAGCCGAGAUAAGAGGAUAGAAAUCAGAAAAAUAUACCAUAUAAGGUUCUUCAAUAUCUUCCCCUCACUUCUAAGCUUUGGAGGCUCUACUUUUCUAAGAGUACUAUCGG